GGAUAGUUUCGGUGGGAGAGUGAUGGGUUGCCACCCAGUCCUGAAUCCUUUGCUGGGUGCCACCUUGGCUUGGAGGAGCACCCAUUUCUAUGAUAGGGAAGGAGAUGGGGUCCAGAAUUGGGCAGGAAUUGGUUGCGAUGGGAGAGUGAAGGGUGGUCACCGAGGGGAUGGUUUCGGUGGGAGAGUGAUGGGUUGCCACCCAGUCCUGAAUCCUUUGCUGGGUGCCACCUUGGCUUGGAGGAGCACCCAUUUCUAUGAUAGGGAAGGAGAUGGGGUCCAGAAUUGGGCAGGAAUUGGUUGCGAUGGGAGAGUGAAGGGUGGUCACCGAGGGGAUGGUUUCGGUGGGAGAGUGAUGGGUUGCCACCCAGUCCUGAAUCCUUUGCUGGGUGCCACCUUGGCCCAUUCCACUGACAGGCAAGAUGAGUCCUUCCGAGACCGGUGCCAAGCCCCGAAGACCCAGAGAAGCCUCUGGGAGGGUCCCAUUGAGCUCUCUGGGAGGCUGCUUCUCCCUUUGGGGGGCUGGAGGGCCAAUAUAGGGAAGCCUGGGCCCCAAAGGCGCCUCCUUGCCGGGCUGGCCGCCUUGGGCUGUGCAGAGGAGGCCUGCAGCCGAGCUCCUCCCCUCCCGGGUGAUGGAGAGCAGCCCUGCGGCACUGGUCGGGGGGAGCCUUGCCCUCUUCCCCGACCAGCUCCCGGUAGCGCUUCCUGAGCACCACGUACUUGGCGGCGGGGCCGGUCCCCUCGGUCUUGACGGUGGCCACGGAGUUGACGAAGCCCUUGAACUGGUCCCGGCGGCGCUGCAGCUCCUCGGGGCCGGCCUCGGGGUCCCGCAGGAAGCGCCUGAAGUGGCCCACCAAGGCGGCGUUGGCCACUCGCCCGCCCGACUGGCACAGGAAGUCCAGCAGCUCGGCUUGGCUCAGCUCCAGGGCCAUCCCGGCCGCUCCGUGCCCUCAAGCCCUCUCCUUGGAGCCGGCUCCCAUCGGGACACCACCCUGGGUCGCCCAAGCCCCGGCCAGGCAAGGAAGAGAGAGCAGAGAGACGCACCUGCGCGCAGGCUCGGCUCCGGGGAGGACGCAACUACUUGGCCGCCUUCCCCGGCUCAGGCUCACCUGCCUCUCUCCCUUGGCGGCUCCGCCCCCUUCCCUGGCUCAAGCCCCGCCCCCAGACCCCGCCCCCCUUUUAGGUCAUUUGAAAACCCAUCGCGACGCUGCUUCCCCGUUCGGAAAGGUAAAUAUUUCUGCAACCUGUUUGGGAGACGCUCCUCGGCGGAGGUCACCGAAAGUGUGGCUGCGGAGGCGAGGCGAGAGGGCUGGGAUCUUGCCUCCAGGGGGAAGGAACUGGAUUCCAAAAUGAUUCUCUGCUCUCAAGAUGAGGAAGAAAGCCAGGCAGCUCCUGGAGCCGAUUGUUGUAGUCUGGCUGAGAGCAGACUGAAAGGACGAGCUUGAAUGGAUUUCAUAGGAGGCUGAAGGUUAUCUUCCUCGCCAGGAGAGAUAAUUGCUUUGUUUUUACAAUUUGGAAAAAAGGCACAGUAAGAAAAUCUGGGAAGCUUUUCUGACAUGUUGGAUUAUGCUUUUGCAACGGAUUUUUAGAGAGCUAAUGCAGUGCAGAGGUUUCAGCAUUAGACUGUGAUUCUGGAGAUCGGUAUUCGAAUUCUCACUCAGAUAUGGAAACCUACUCGGUGACCUUGGACAUGUCAUGUCACAUUUUCUCAGCCUUAGAGGAAAUAAAAGGCUGUAUGAAUAAAGCUUGCUAAGAAAACCCUGUGAAAGGGUCACAUUAGGAUUGCCAUGGAUUGGAAAUGACAGUCACCUGAUAUUUGGAAUGACAAUGGUAACCGUUGGGCGAGAUCACCCAGAGUUUUGGAGCUCGGUGCCAUCUCUAUGCAGAUGACACUCAGCUCUACAACUCCUUUCCACUGAACUCCAAGGAAGCCCUCCAGAUCCUGGACCAGUGCCUGGCUGCUGUGUUGAACUGGAUGAGGGCUAACAAGCUGAAACUUAAUCCAGACAAGACAGAGGUCCUUCUGGUCAGUCAUGUGGCCGAUCGGGGUAUUGGGUGGGGUUGAUGGGGUUACACUUUUCCGGAGUACACAUGUCUGCAGUUUGGGGGUCCUCCUGGAUUCAACACUGAUGCUUGAAGCUCAGGUGUCGAUGGUGGACAAGAGGGCCUUCACACAAUUAAAACUUGUGUGCCAGCUGUGACCGUACCUUGAGAAGUCUGACUUGGCUAUGGUAGUCCAUGCCUUACUUAUCUCCAUAUUGGACUACUGCAAUGCACUGUACAUGGGGCUGCCCCUAUAGACGGCUUGGAAACUAUAAUUGAUACAACAGUCAGCGACCAGGUUGCUGACUGGAGCGAAUUAUAGGGAGCGGACAACUCCACAAUUAAAACAGCUCCA
rnacentral:lncRNA from 11 species